AUGCCACUCGUCCACUCCGGCUCGGAGCGCGCCAUCCACGCCUACCUGACGACCACUCGCUGCUUUUGGCCAGCC
rnacentral:sRNA from 1 species